rnacentral:rRNA from 1 species
AUUGAACGCUGGCGGCACGCCUAACACAUGCAAGUCGAGCGGUAGCAUGAUUAGUAGCAAUACUAAUUGAUGACGAGCGGCGGACGGGUGAGUAAUACGUAGGAACCUGCCCUCAAGCGGGGGAUAACUAAGGGAAACUUUAGCUAAUACCGCAUAAUCUCGAGAGAGUAAAGCUGCAGCAAUGUGGCACUUGAGGAGGAGCCUGCGUCAGAUUAGCUUGUUGGUGAGGUAAUGGCUCACCAAGGCGAUGAUCUGUAACUGGUCUGAGAGGACGACCAGUCACACUGGGACUGAGACACGGCCCAGACUCCUACGGGAGGCAGCAGUGGGGAAUAGUGGACAAUGGGGGCAACCCUGAUCCAGCGAUGCCGCGUGGGUGAAGAAGGCCUUCGGGUUGUAAAGCCCUUUAGGCUGGGAAGAAGGGUGUGGAGUGAAUAUCUCUGCACUUUGACUGUACCAGCAGAAUAAGCACCGGCAAACUCUGUGCCAGCCGCCGCAGUAA